rnacentral:ncRNA from 1 species
UUACAUGAGGGGUGCUAAAAUUGGCUGAGAUUAUACCCUUUAGUCUUAAACCUGAUCUAGAUAAUGCUAGCGUAGGGAUUUCUUAUUCUAA